rnacentral:lncRNA from 1 species
UCAAAUUAGUACCCUGUGGUUUUUUAAACUAUAGGAUACUAAAGUGAUAAAGUGUGAAACCACAGGAUACUAAAGUAAUAAAGUACAAAACCACAGGGUACUAAUUUGAUACACUUUAAACCACAGGGUACUAAAGUGAUAAAGUGAGAAACCACAUGGUACUAACUUGAUACACUUUAAACCAUAGGGUACUAAAAUGAAAAAGUAUGAAACCACAGAGGGGGUUUUUGAAGUUUUUCCAAAUAAUAAUAAUAAUAAUGGAUGAAUGGAAGGUUGAAGUUGUGAGGUGUGGUGAUA